rnacentral:rRNA from 1 species
UACGUAGGUGGCAAGCGUUGUCCGGAUUUACUGGGCGUAAAGGGCGUGCAGGCGGUUUGUUAAGUGCAGGGUGAAAGCUCCCGGCUCAACUGGGAGAGGUCCUUGCAUACUGGCAAACUCGAGGGAGGCAGAGGAAAGUGGAAUUCCCGGUGUAGUGGUGAUAUGCGUAGAUAUCGGGAGGAACAUCUGUGGCGAAGGCGACACCCUGGACCAGCACUGACACUGAGGCACGAAAGCGUGGGGAGCAAACAGG